CUACGGAGGUUGCAAGCGUUACUCGGAAUCACUGGGCGUAAAGCGCGCGCAGGCGGCUAUUUAAGUUGGAUGUGAAAGCCUACGGCUCAACCGUAGAACUGCAUCCAAAACUAUUUAGCUAGAGGGUGGGAGAGGAAGAUGGAAUUAGUUGUGUAGGGGUAAAAUCCGUAGAGAUAACUAGGAAUACCAAAAGCGAAGGCAAUCUUCUGGAACACUACUGACGCUGAGGCGCGAAAGCGUGGGGAGCAAACAGGAGUAGAAACCCUAGUAGUCC
rnacentral:rRNA from 1 species